rnacentral:lncRNA from 1 species
UUUUUGCUGCCACUUUCCUGAAAUUCAUCCAAUACAUCUGUGGAAUAGAAUAAUCAAUCAUCUAAUUGCCUCCUGGUGGAUCUGCUUUUAAAAUCACACUGUUGUGGUAGUGUAGGCAGCCAUGCAUGCAUGGAAUAUGAUUAAUAGGGACACAAACUUCAGUUGUACCUAAUAAUAUUUUGUUCGCUUGUACUCAGAGCCGAACAACAAUUCUCCUUGACAUAUGUUUGGCUACAAGAUUGCGAAAUUUGCUACCCAGACAGUUUUUUAUUGGCAUCUUAUUACUUUUUUCGCAAUAUUCCUCUUCGUUUCUGGUUCUAUAUCACCUGCAAAAUCUCUUAUGAAUAUUAAACAAUUAUUUAAUUAUAAUAUUCAAGCUAACCAUGCAAGCAAACAUUAUUGUGGAGUGAUUGAUUAAAACCCUAUUUGAUUUUGAUGAGCUCAAAGCAUUUGAGUAUAUCUUUUGUUUACUAAUGAAUUCAAUUGAGUGUUUCAGUGAAAAUCUUGUCUAAGUGUUUCUAGACUUGGUUCAAGAUAUUUUGGAA